AGGAUUGUAGCUAAGUAGCAGGGCAUGUGUUUUGUAUAUACAAGGUCCCAGUUUCAAUCCCUGGCAUUCCAG
rnacentral:tRNA from 1 species